UACACGAAAUUUUAUACAAUU
rnacentral:piRNA from 1 species